rnacentral:misc_RNA from 1 species
CCAUCCCGUUCUUUAGUUAGUUUUACGUCAUUCUCUUUCUCCAAAGCAGUGGUCAAGAUCGACCCUGCUUCAUUGAAUUUAGAAAUCUAUAUUUAUUGGGAACAUCACCGACCCAAAACACCAUCAAAAUAUGUCCGGAAAUUGGAGCAAUAGCCGUGAAAACGGUGGUUCCAAGUUUGGGAGCGGGGGCGGUAGUCGAUUCGGCAGUAGCGGAGGCGGACGAUUCGGCAGUGGUGGAGGAAAUGGAGGAAGUCGAUUUGGAAGCAAUGGCGGUGGCAAUAGCAGAUUCGGGGGCGGUGGCGGUAAGAAGGAAUUUUCUGGUGGCCAGAACAUGCGUCGUCCUAACUGGGAUAGUCUGACGUUGCAGCCAUUCAACAAAGACUUCUAUAACCCACAUCCAUCAGUGCUAAGUCGCUCAUCCUACGAAGUUGAAGAAUACAGGAACCAACAUGAAAUCACUAUCAGUGGAGUUAAAGUCCCCAACCCAAUUCAACAGUUUGAUGAAGCUAACUUCCCAGACUAUGUUAUGCAGAGCAUCAACAGCAUGGGUUACAAGGAACCUACACCCAUUCAGUCACAGGGCUGGCCUAUAGCUAUGUCUGGGAAGAACUUGGUAGGAAUUGCCCAGACUGGGUCAGGAAAGACCUUAGCUUAUAUCUUGCCUGCUAUAGUUCAUAUCAAUAACCAGCCUCCUAUCAGGCGUGGUGAUGGCCCAAUUGCCCUUGUCUUGGCUCCAACUAGGGAGUUAGCGCAACAAAUCCAACAAGUAGCUACUGAUUUUGGCAAUGCAGCAUAUGUGCGCAAUACGUGUGUAUUUGGUGGUGCACCGAAAAGGGAACAAGCUCGUGACUUGGAAAGAGGAGUUGAGAUUGUGAUUGCCACACCUGGAAGGUUAAUUGAUUUCCUAGAAAAGGGUACUACCAACUUACAGCGCUGCACAUAUUUGGUUUUGGAUGAAGCUGACCGCAUGUUAGACAUGGGUUUUGAACCCCAGAUCAGGAAAAUCAUUGAGCAAAUUCGUCCUGACAGACAGACUUUAAUGUGGUCUGCAACAUGGCCCAAGGAAGUAAAAAAAUUGGCUGAAGAUUACUUGGGAGAUUACCAGCAGAUUAAUAUUGGAUCCCUGCAACUGUCUGCAAACCAUAACAUCCUGCAAAUAAUUGAUGUUUGCCAAGAACAUGAGAAAGAAAACAAGUUAAAUGUACUAUUACAAGAAAUUGGACAAAGUCAAGAGCCUGGAGCAAAGACUAUAAUCUUUGUUGAGACAAAGCGGAAAGUUGAAAAUAUUACUCGAAAUAUUAAGAGGUAUGGAUGGCCUGCAGUGUGCAUGCAUGGAGAUAAGACACAGCAAGAAAGAGAUGAUGUUUUAUAUCAGUUCAAACAAGGACGUGCCAGUAUACUAGUUGCAACAGAUGUUGCUGCCAGAGGAUUAGAGGCACUGGCGGAAAGUUAUUGUGUUCUAACAGAAUACUGCCCAAAAUUUAUAGGCAUGUUACUGCACUGGAUUUGUAGAUAAAAUAUACUUGUCUCAUGCAGUGGUAUUUUAUCAGAGAAUGCAAUAACUCGUCAAAUUAAGGUGCCUCGACUGUGCCUUUCACUAUGAUGGGACCUGAGGCCGAAGCUUGAUGGUAUGUCCGUAAAAACGGAUACACUUGAGAGUUGAAGAAAACCUGGUGAUGCACUGAACUGCUAUGACUACAUGUCUCUUCAAUGAUUACAAAGAUUGUUAAAACACAUGGUGCAUCGUUGAAAAACUUGACCGAAGUUGUGAUGAUCUGCAAGAGGUCAAGGGUUUUCUGUUUCGGCCGAAUGGAGUUUUCGAAGGGGCAAGAGAUAAACAAUUGAUAACUUAAAACAUACGCCCUUAGCAAGACUCCAGGGUUCUGAGUGAGAGGCAGAUGUUGAUUGUAAUUGAUACUUGUUUGUGUAACUCAUUCAUAUGUUGAUGGUAUCAAAUAUGUGAUCAAUUUUGAUUAUCCUAACUCUUCUGAAGACUACAUUCACCGGAUUGGUAGAACUGGGCGCUCACAAACAAAAGGCACGUCUUAUGCCUUCUUUACACCGUCGAAUUCACGCCAAGCU